GACGAACGCUGGCGGCGUGCUUAACACAUGCAAGUCGAACGGAAAGGCCCUGCUUUUGUGGGGUGCUUGAGUGGCGAACGGGUGAGUAACACGUGAGUAACCUGCCCUUGACUUUGGGAUAACUUCAGGAAACUGGGGCUAAUACCGGAUAGGAGCUCCUGCUGCAUGGUGGGGGUUGGAAAGUUUCGGCGGUUGGGGAUGGACUCGCGGCUUAUCAGCUUGUUGGUGGGGUAGUGGCUUACCAAGGCUUUGACGGGUAGCCGGCCUGAGAGGGUGACCGGCGACAUUGGGACUGAGAUACGGCCCAGACUCCUACGGGAGGCAGCAGUGGGGAAUAUUGCACAAUGGGCGGAAGCCUGAUGCAGCAACGCCGCGUGCGGGAUGACGGCCUUCGGGUUGUAAACCGCUUUCGCCUGUGACGAAGCGUGAGUGACGGUAAUGGGUAAAGAAGCACCGGCUAACUACGUG
rnacentral:rRNA from 1 species